UACGUAGGGUGCGAGCGCUGUUCGGAAUUACUGGGCGGAAAGGGCGCGUAGGCGGUCCUGUAAGUCCCGCGUGAAAUCCCCCGGCUCAACUGGGGAACUGCGCGGGAAACUGUGGGGCUUGAGUUCGGGAGAGGGAAGCGGAAUUCCGGGUGUAGCGGUGAAAUGCGUAGAUAUCCGGAGGAACACCGGUGGCGAAGGCGGCUUCCUGGACCGACACUGACGCUGAGGCGCGAAAGCUAGGGGAGCAAACGGG
rnacentral:rRNA from 1 species